rfam:Sorghum bicolor cultivar BTx623 chromosome 9, whole genome shotgun sequence.
AUUCCAUGAUGGGGACAUUCUAGGAUGUAGUCUUGGAAGCGCUCCCAUGCUUCGGGAAUGGAUUCAUCAUGCUGUUGCUGAAAACUUGUAAUCUUCCCACGGAGAGC